rnacentral:rRNA from 1 species
GAUGAACGCUGGCGGCGUGCCUAAUACAUGCAAGUCGAACGCUGAAGGAGGAGCUUGCUCUUCUGGAUGAGUUGCGAACGGGUGAGUAACGCGUAGGUAACCUGCCUGGUAGCGGGGGAUAACUAUUGGAAACGAUAGCUAAUACCGCAUGACAACAGUUAUUGCAUGAUAACUGUUUAAAAGGGGCAACUGCUCCACUACCAGAUGGCCCUGCGUUGUAUUAGCUAGUUGGUGAGGUAACGGCUCACCAAGGCGACGAUACAUAGCCGACCUGAGAGGGUGAUCGGCCACACUGGGACUGAGACACGGCCCAGACUCCUACGGGAGGCAGCAGUAGGGAAUCUUCGGCAAUGGACGGAAGUCUGACCGAGCAACGCCGCGUGAGUGAAGAAGGUUUUCGGAUCGUAAAGCUCUGUUGUAAGAGAAGAACGAGUGUGAGAGUGGAAAGUUCACACUGUGACGGUAUCUUACCAGAAAGGGACGGCUAACUACGUG